rnacentral:rRNA from 1 species
UGGGGAAUAUUGCGCAAUGGGCGAAAGCCUGACCGAGCAACGCCGCGUGAGUGAAGAAGGCCUUCGGGUUGUAAAGCUCUGUUGUGAAGGAAGAACGGCUCAUACAGGGAAUGGUAUGGGAGUGACGGUACUUUACCAGAAAGCCACGGCUAACUACGUGCCAGCAGCCGCGGUAAUACGUAGGUGGCGAGCGUUAUCCGGAAUUAUUGGGCGUAAAGGGUGCGCAGGCGGUUUGUUAAGUCAGAAGUGAAAUCCAUGGGCUUAACCCAUGAACUGCUUUUGAAACUAUCGAACUUGAGUGAAGUAGAGGUAGGCGGAAUUCCCGGUGUAGCGGUGAAAUGCGUAGAGAUCGGGAGGAACACCAGUGGCGAAGGCGGCCUACUGGGCUUUAACUGACGCUGAGGCACGAAAGCAUGGGUAGCAAACAGGAUUAGAUACC